CCUACGGGUGGCAGCAGUGGGGGAUAUUGCACAAUGGGGGAAACCCUGAUGCAGCGACGCCGCGUGGGAGAAGAAGUAUUUCGGUAUGUAAAGCCCUAUCAGCAGGGAAGAAGAAAGGACGGUACCUGAGUAAGAAGCACCGGCUAAAUACGUGCCAGCAGCCGCGGUAAUACGUAGGGUGCAAGCGUUAUCCGGAUUUACUGGGUGGAAAGGGCGUGCAGCCGGGAAGACAAGUCAGAUGUGAAAUCCCGCGGCUCAACCGCGGAACUGCAUUUGAAACUGUUUUUCUUGCGUACCGGAGAGGUCAUCGGAAUUCCUUGUGUAGCGGUGAACUGCGUAGAUAUAAGGAAGAACCCCAGUGGCGAAGGCGGCUGACUGGACGGCAACUGACGGUGAGGCGCGAACGCGUGGGGAGCAAACAGGAUUAGAUACCCCUGUAGUC
rnacentral:rRNA from 1 species